rnacentral:rRNA from 1 species
UACGGGGGGGGCAAGCGUUGUUCGGAAUUACUGGGCGUAAAGGGCUCGUAGGCGGCCAACUAAGUCAGACGUGAAAUCCCUCGGCUUAACCGGGGAACUGCGUCUGAUACUGGUUGGCUUGAAUCCGGGAGAGGGAUGUGGAAUUCCAGGUGUAGCGGUGAAAUGCGUAGAUACCUGGAGGAACACCGGUGGCGAAGGCGGCAUCCUGGACCGGUAUUGACGCUGAGGAGCGAAAGCCAGGGGAGCAAACGGG